rnacentral:rRNA from 1 species
UACGUAGGCAGCAAGCGUUGUUCGGAUUCAUUGGGCGUAAAGGGUGUGUAGGUGGCGCCGUAAGUCGGGUGUGAAAUUUCGGAGCUUUACUCCGAAACUGCAUUCGAUACUGCGGUGCUUGAGGACUGGAGAGGAGACUGGAAUUCAUGGUGUAGCAGUGAAAUGCGUAGAGAUCAUGAGGAAGACCAGUGGCGAAGGCGGGUCUCUGGACAGUUCCUGACACUGAGACACGAAGGCCAGGGGAGCAAACGGG